AUGAAUGUCCCUCCUGUCCUCAUCAGGUCUCCAUAUGUGUCCAGCUACCAGCAGUUAGAGGAUCAGCAGAGGUGAGGACUGCAGGGGCGUCCUCUGGAGUGAAGAGCCGGGGGCAGGACACUCACUCCAGGGAAUCGUUUUCCUCCUUGUGCAGGCGUAAGGAGAAUCACCCUGGAUCCCACGGGCCAUGUACAGCCGGGCCAGAGACGCUGCUGCGACACCAUGAUACCCGUCAGUGUCCCAGCAUCAAAGCUACUGGAUGCAACAGAACAACAGGAGGGAAUCAGCGCUGACAGGGGGGAAGCCUGCUUGACGUGACGGAUGAGAGAACCUGUUUGCUGGAACGGAGACUGGAUGUGCGGGAGCAGCUUUUACCCCCAUCUCCAGCACAAUGCGGCGUAACCGUCCCGCAUCCGCAGACAGCCGUGUCUGACGGGCCUGACAACAACAGAAAAGGUGUGGAAUCGCAAUUGUGAGGGGUGAUUCUUCCACCGCUUCGUGGUGUCUGUGCCCAAGUCAGAGGGUGGCAUGAGUGUGUGUGACUUCGGAAAGCAUGCGAGAAAGAUUGCGCGUCGCUACGCAUGUGUUUUACCACAGAAGCUGCUCUCCCACUGAGCUCCAGUGAAUACAAACGACAUUUAGCGGCCUCUUUGGCCACUCUCCAUGCUGUUAGGGGAAACCCCCUUCACUUACACAGCACACACACACACACACACACACACACAGGAUGUACAGCCUCCAUGAAGAAGCAUUGAUAUGUCAUGCUGAGGCAUUAAAUGGGAAGAUAGUGGUUAGCAAUCAGACCAAUUGUUGGUUUUUACAGACAGAGCUCCUUGACAGACUAAAGCUUUGCUCUGGUUUUCAUAUUUCUGUGUCUUUGAAUUCCUUCACAUUCCAGAGGAUCAGUGUUAGGAAGCUCUGUGUCCUGCCAGCUGUGAGCAGAUUUAAAGCAUCUGCCCCUGGCUCCUCCAUACCUUCACAUCAACUGUAGCUGCUCCACUUGUAAACAUCGAGUCAGAUAACUUGCCGACUUGAUAGCUAGCUGUCUAGCUAUGAAGUAAGCUAGCUAUCUGAGACAUCGAGUCAACUCAGCUAGCUAGCUGAUUGGAUAGCUGGCAAGCCAGUCAGUUAGCUACCCGACUCGAUAAGUGGAUCAGCUACACCAACUACCUGUACAGUACAACUACUGUAGCUAGUUAA